rnacentral:pre_miRNA from 1 species
UAACCUCCGCAGGCUGGCGGGACCCCAGGCUGGGCUGGGUAAGUACCUCCUCAAAAGGUUCACUUUAAAGCACAACUAGGAGU